GUGACGUUUACCAAAAUGCAAGAUGCUAAUUAAUGAAGGUCUUAAAUUACUUGUUUGGCUCCUUGGUGUGCCUGACUGGUUUCAACUUCUUCCUGGUUUAGUCUUGGGAGAGUGUAUGUGUCGAGGAAUUUAUCCAUUUCUUCUAGAUUCCUUUUGGGUUUUCUAUGUAGACAGUCUCAUCAUUAAGAUGAUAUCAAAAUUAAGGUGUUGUUUUUGCCUGUCCUAUCUUAUGUCUUUUUUCUUUCUUGUAAAAUCUGUCUAGGACUUCUACCAUCUGUUUAAAAAAAGCCAUAAUAGUGGGCAUUCUUAUCUUGUUAAUAAUAUUAAAAGGAAGGAGCCUAAUAUUUUACUACUAAACAUGAUGUUUGCUUGACUCCCAGUAGGGCCGAAAAAGAAAAUGAAGUUUGCUGUUGAAUUUUUUAGAUGCCAUUUGUUAUGGUUUGGCUCUGUGUCCCCACCCAAAUCUCAUGUCAAGUUGUAAUCCCCAAGUGUCAGGGGAGGGACCUGGUAGGAGGUGAUUGGAUCAUGGAGAAAUCCCUUGCUGUUCUUGUGAUAGUGUGUUCUCACAAGAUCUGGUUGUUGAAAAGUGUGUGGCACUUAAAAGUGUGUACCUCGCCCCCAUCUCCUCUCUCUUUCUCUCCUGCCACCAUGUAAGUACAUGCCUUGCUUCCCCUUUGCCUUCUGCUAUGAUUAUAAGUUUUCUGAGGCCUCCCCAGCCAUGCAGAACUGUGAGUGAAUGAAAUCUCUUUUCUUUAUAAAUUACCCAGUUUCAGGUAGUUCUUUAUAGCCAUGUGAAAUGGACUAAUAUACCAUUAAUAACACUAAGAGAGUUUUAUCCCUAGCUUUGCUUGAUUUUGUUUCAUCAUAAAUGGAUCUUUUUUUUUUUCCAAUCCUUUUCCUGCAUCUAUUGGUGUGAUCUUAGGUUUUUGAUACAUCAGCAUAUUUUUCCAAUUUUAAAUUGAUCUUCAAUCCCAACUUGGUUAUAAUGUGUUGUAUUUUACAAACAUUGUUGAAUUUGAUUGUAAAUAUUUUGACUGAGACUGGUGCAUCUAAAUUAUAAAUAAAGUUGACCUAUAAUUUUUCUUCCCCAAGUUGUCUUUGGUUUUGGCAUCAAGAUCAUACUAGCCUUAUAAAAUGUACUGGGGAGGUCUAUUUCAUGAGUUCUGGAGGGAAACAUGUAUAAUAACUGAAGGUUUUAUAUAUAUAUAUAUCUGUGUAUAUAUAUCUGUAUAUAUAUCUUAUGUAUAUAUAUAUCUGUAUAUAUAUGUACAUGGCCAAUUAUGUAUGUAUAUAAUUGCCCUUAGAUCAAGUUUAUUAGUUGUUUUAUUAGUUGUCUUGUCUUUCCUAAAUUUUCAUUUGCUUGAUCUAUAAAUAAGUGAGCUAAAACUUCACAAUAUGGUAGUGGAUUCACCAGUUUCUUCAAUUUCUGACUUACAUACUUUGAAGCUAUUUAUUACACACAAAGGUUUGAAUAACUAUUUUCCUGGGGAACACAAUUUUUUAUUAUUUUGUAGUGACUCUUUUUGGUCAAUGAUAAUGCUUUUUGUAUUAAAGUCUAAUUUAAUACAAAAUACAGGUAUACCACGAAUAUAGGUAUACCACCUUUCUUUUUGUUGGCAUUUAUACGGCAUCUCUUUUCCAUCUUUUUAUUUUCAACUCCUCACGAUCCUUAAUGUUUUUGGUGCAUCUCUUGUAAAUGGCACUUUUUUUUUUCAACCAAUCUCUGGCUUUUUUAUUUUUUAAACUUGUGGGUAUGUGUCAUCCAACAAUCUCUGGCUUUUCAUCAGAAAGUUUAUUUACUUUCAUUGUUACUAUUGAUAUAUAUGAAUUUAUUUCUAUUUUGUUACUUUAGUGCUUUCUUUUCAUCCUCUUUUUUUUUAAUGCUCAUUAUGAUAUUAGGUUUUUGUUCAUUUAAUCUGUGUUUUCCUGUUAGUCCAUUUUUUCCUUUGGCUGGAUUAGAAGUUAUACACUUUCAUGGUUAUCCUUGAAACUUUACCUUGCGUACUUAAAGACUUGAAUUAUGUCAACUCUAUUAAUUGAUAUCUUAACUACAAAGAGAGACCUUAGAAUUCUUUAACUUUGUCAUCCACCUCUCGUCUUACAUACUUUUGUUGUCUGGUGUUAUUUCAUGUAAUGUUUGCUCAGAUUCAACUAUGUGUUUACAAUUUCUUUGCCCAUCACUUCUAUCUCAGACUCUCCUUCUGAAGUAAUUUUUCUUUCUGAAGUACAUCUUUUAGAACUUCCUUUAAAAAGUGUAGGUAGAUGUUAAAUUCAGUUUCCAUGUACCUGGAAAUUAUUUUAUUUCUAUACUUUAAUUCUUGAAAGAUAAUUUUGCUGAGUGCCCAAUUCUAGGUUGAUGGUUAUUUUCUGCCAGCAUUCUGAAUGUACAAUUCUACUCUUUCUGACUUCCACUGUUUUAUUGAGGAAUCAAUUAUUGGUCUGUCAUUUGUCAUUAAAAUAACCAAGGAUUUAACCCAACUCUGCCACUUUAUUGUUCUGUCAUCUUGGCAGGUCACUUCCAAUUCCCUAGGCCUCAGUCCUUCAUUAACCAAAGAGAGAUAAGAGCACCAACCUCACAGCUUUGUUAUGAACAUUAAGAGAGAUCAUGUAUAUGAAAGCACUACACAAGUGCUUAUUAUUACCACAAUUAGCUCAUCUCUACAUUAUAUUACUGUCUUGUUCUUUUCCCCCUACCACUGGAAAUAGUUAGAAUGGGGCAAAUGGGUCAUAGCUAGGAAUUCAUAGCCAAAAUUAGAAAUAAAAAGGCGAGGCUUCUUCUGGGAAUGUUAAGUUUCUGUAAUAAGAAUCUAAGAUGUGUUGCGGGAAGUCAGGGACCCCGAACGGAGGGACCGGCUGGAGCCACGGCAGAGGAACA
rnacentral:lncRNA from 1 species